rnacentral:rRNA from 1 species
UACGAAGGGGCUAGCGUUGCUCGGAAUCACUGGGCGUAAAGGGUGCGUAGGCGGGUCUUUAAGUCAGGGUGAAAUCCUGGAGCUCAACUCCAGAACUGCCUUUGAUACUGAGGAUCUUGAGUUCGGGAGAGGUGAGUGGAACUGCGAGUGUAGAGGUGAAAUUCGUAGAUAUUCGGCAAAGAACGCCAGUGGCGAAGGCGACUUACUGGACGAUUGUUGACGCUGAGGUGCGGAAAGCGUGGGGAGCAAACAGGG